AGCACAGCGAUUUGGGAUAAGUCCCUUGGAAAAGGGCAGCAUAGAGGGUGAUACUCCCGUCUUUGCCCAGGUUGUCUAUGUGUACGAUACGUUUUCUUUGAGUCGAGUUGUUUGGGAAUGCAGCUCAAAGUAGGUGGUAAAUUCCAUCUAAAGCUAAAUAUAGGUGCAAAACCGAUAGCGAACAAGUACCGUGAGGGAAAGAUGAAAAGAACUUUGAAAAGAGAGUUAAAGAGUACCUGAAGCUGUUGAAAGGGAACCGUAUCGUUUCUAGUGUUUAUCUCAUGCAUAUUUCAUUGGCGGUUGCAAAAUUGUUGUGCCCUGUGUAUGAGUGUGACGUCAGAGUCAGUUUAAGCUGCGGGAGAUGGGUAGAGAGGAGGUGAUCCGCUUGCGGAAGUUACAGCUUUCUGCCUAGUAGCCGUGGUUGAGACUGAGGUGCC
rnacentral:rRNA from 2 species